CUUGAGCUAUUGGCCUUUGUGUGCAUGCGCUGUGUGUUUGUAUCUCUGUGUGUGUGUGCGCGCGUGUACACACACACACACACACACACACACACAC
ensembl:miRNA